rnacentral:rRNA from 1 species
CGUUGUCCGGAUUAUUGGGCGUAAAGCGCGCGCAGGCGGAUUGGUCAGUCUGUCUUAAAAGUUCGGGGCUUAACCCCGUGAUGGGAUGGAAACUGCCAAUCUAGAGUAUCGGAGAGGAAAGUGGAAUUCCUAGUGUAGCGGUGAAAUGCGUAGAUAUUAGGAGGAACACCAGUGGCGAAGGCGACUUUCUGGACGAAAACUGACGCUGAGGCGCGAAAGCCAGGGGAGCGAACGGGAUUAGAUACCCCGGUAGUCCUGGCCGUAAACGAUGGGUACUAGGUGUAGGAGGUAUCGACCCCUUCUGUGCCGGAGUUAACGCAAUAAGUACCCCGCCUGGGGAGUACGACCGCAAGGUUGAAACUCAAAGGAAUUGACGGGGGCCCGCACAAGCGGUGGAGUACGUGGUUUAAUUCGACGCAACGCGAAGAACCUUACCAGGUCUUGACAUUGAUGGACAGAACCAGAGAUGGUUCCUCUUCUUCGGAAGCCAGAAAACAGGUGGUGCACGGUUGUCGUCAGCUCGUGUCGUG